rnacentral:lncRNA from 1 species
GUUUAAAAAGGCAAAGAUUUUCUAAAAUGUGAACACUGCAUCGUGGCUUUUCUUUGUUCCGUGUUUCCUGUAAACUCCUGCUGGUCUAGAGGUUUGACAGGUUGGGGUGUAAUAUUCCGUGCAGGGCUGCUUCCUCGGCAGGGCGUUGUGCCCCCCGGGGCAUCCUGUCAGGAGCUUCCCGAUCCUGGUGGUCCCGUUCUUCAAAUACUGACCACUAAGCCCAGGUGGGGCAGCCUGACCCAGUGAAGGCCCACCUAAGGGCUUUAGCAUCCCUUGAUGAGCAGCGACUAGAUUCUUAUUUCAUGCGAUGUACGGAUUUAAAAGUAUUAAAUUAUGUAUUUCAUCCCUGAGACCUCCUUUAAUUCUUAGGAUUCUCACAUUUAAUUCUUGGAAGAUGAGAUUAUUGUUAUCCUGUUUUUGCAGAAGAAGAGACUGGUGCCCAGCGAGGGUCUGUUGUGGCUGCCCGUGGCCACAUGGAACCACAAGGGACCACACAGACCACAGGGGCCACAAAGGGCCACAGAACCAGGAUCUGUCCGAGGACGCGGUGCCGUUUAAUGCUGCCACUUCCCAGCCUAUGUCUCAGCUUCCCUCUUUCUGUGGGUUCUGUGGAACCCUGCCUGAUGCUCUCGGAUGGUUCCGUCUGAUUCGCACCAAGGGGACAAAUGCCAUCUGCCUGGCACUGCCUGCAGAGGGAGGCAGCCCCUCUGUGCCCUGGGCAGCGUGGAGAAGGGCAUGACUGAGGAAAGAAGGACUUCCUGCUCCCCUACUUGAUACUGUAAGUAUGUUGUCUAUUACCUGAUGAUUCAAAGUGUGGUCCGUGGACCAGAGCAGUGGUGUCCCUGGGCAUUUCUUAGAAACACAGAGGUACAGCCUCACCCCGGACCCAUUGAAUCAGAACCUGCAACUUAACAGACCCCAGGUCAUUUGCAUGCACUUUAAAGUUUAAGAGGCACUGCCUGCAUGACCAGUGAGGAAAAGCUGGGGCAGCAAAAGCAGCAGGCAUGUACAGCAAGCAACAUCUGGUGCCACCUGGAGCCGUCAGGUGGAAGGUCAGAAGGUCCCCAGCAGCCUGUGGAGAGGUUUCUCGAGCUGGGGCCGGCUCCAUGCCCAGCAGGGCUGUGAUCCAGAAGAGGCCCCCUCCCAUUGCUCCCCUGGGUAGGGGGUUGUCUGUUCACUUUCUGAUAGCAUGCUUUGGAACUUUCAAAUUUUGAUCAAGUCCAAUUUAGCUAUUUUUUUUCUUUUGUUGCUUGUGCUUCUGGUGUCAUAUCUAAGAACCUAUUGGAACUUCCACUGUCAUGAAGAUUUACUCCUAUAUUUUCUUGUAAGAGCUUAAAGUUUUAGCUCUUACAUUUAGCUGCUGGAUCCAUUUUGAGUUAAUUUUUGUGUUUGAUGUGAGGUAGGGAUUCAACUCCAUUCUCUUGCAUGUGAACAGGCUUUGAUUUCUUUGUCCAAAGGAUCUCUCUAAUUAUUGUGUGGAGAACAGACUGUGGGGGCAAGAGGGAGGCAGGCAGACUCACUUCCCACUGUUAUGUGAUAAUCUGUCUCAGAGGGCCACUAUUAAAGUUAGAGGAAGUGAUUAGAAAACCACCACUUGACAGUGUCACAGUAAUGAUUUAGGCAAGAGUCAUCCGUGGAUGCUAAAACUGGUGGGCGCAGGUUUCUUGAGUAACAUAUUUACAGGGUCUCAAAGAACCUCCCCCCAAGACACUUAUGGCAAAGGGUAAAGAAUGAACUUU